ACGUGGGUGAUCUGCCCUGCACUUUGGGAUAAGCCUGGGAAACUGGGUCUAAUACCGAAUAUGACCACGCUCUUCAUGGGGUGUGGUGGAAAGCUUUUGCGGUGUGGGAUGGGCCCGCGGCCUAUCAGCUUGUUGGUGGGGUAAUGGCCUACCAAGGCGACGACGGGUAGCCGGCCUGAGAGGGUGACCGGCCACACUGGGACUGAGAUACGGCCCAGACUCCUACGGGAGGCAGCAGUGGGGAAUAUUGCACAAUGGGCGCAAGCCUGAUGCAGCGACGCCGCGUGGGGGGAUGACGGCCUUCGGGUUGUAAACCUCUUUCAGUAUCGGCGAAGCUCCAGGAUUUUUCUUGGGGUGACGGUAGGUACAGAAGAAGCACCGGCCAACUACGUGCCAGCAGCCGCGGUAAUACGUAGGGUGCGAGCGUUGUCCGGAAUUACUGGGCGUAAAGAGCUCGUAGGUGGUUUGUCACGUUGUCCGUGAAAACUCACAGCUUAACUGUGGGCGUGCGGGCGAUACGGGCAGACUGGAGUACUGUAGGGGAGACUGGAAUUCCUGGUGUAGCGGUGGAAUGCGCAGAUAUCAGGAGGAACACCGGUGGCGAAGGCGGGUCUCUGGGCAGUAACUGACGCUGAGGAGCGAAAGCGUGGGGAGCGAACAGGAUUAGAUACCCUGGUAGUCCACGCCGUAAACGGUGGGUACUAGGUGUGGGUUUCC
rnacentral:rRNA from 1 species